GCUAUGCCCGAUCUCGUCUGAUCUCGGAAGCUAAGCAGGUUUGGGCCUGGUUAGUACUUCGAUGGGAGACUGCCUGGGAAUACCAGGUGCUGUAAGCUU
rnacentral:rRNA from 1 species